rnacentral:rRNA from 1 species
CCCAACUCUUUUGAGUUAUUGCUAACUGAAUACAUAGGUUAGUAAAGCGAACCCAGUGAACUGAAACAUCUAAGUAACUGGAGGAAAGGAUAUCAACCGAUACUCCGUAAGUAGUGGCGAGCGAAAGCGGACUAGGCCAGUAGCAUUAAUUGUACAACCAGAAUUACCUGGAAAGGUAAACCAUAGAGAGUGAUAGUCUCGUAUGGGUAAUGACAGUUAAUGUUCUCGAGUAAGACGGGACACGUGAAAUCUUGUCUGAAUAUGGGGGGACCACCCUCCAAGCCUAAGUACUCUUGUGUGACCGAUAGUGAACUAGUACCGUGAGGGAAAGGUGAAAAGAACCCCGACGAGGGGAGUGAAAUAGAUCCUGAAAUUGAAUGCUUACAAGCUGUGGAAGCCCGUAAGGGUGACCGCGUACCUUUUGUAUAAUGGGUCAGCGAGUUAGUUUGAAGUGCAAGCUUAAGCCGUAAGGUGUAGGCGUAGCGAAAGCGAGUCUUAAUAGGGCGACAGUACUUUGGAUUAAACCCGAAACCGAGUGAUCUAGCCAUGAGCAGGUUGAAGAUAAGGUAACACUUAUUGGAGGACCGAACCAGUUGACGUUGAAAAGUCUUUGGAUGACUUGUGGUUAGGGGUGAAAGGCCAAUCAAACUCGGAUAUAGCUGGUUCUCCGCGAAAACUAUUUAGGUAGUGCGUCAUAUGAAUACCAUCGGGGGUAGAGCACUGGAUGGGCAAGGGGGGAGAGAUCCUUACUAAGUCCAACCAAACUCCAAAUACCGAUGAGUACUGUAUGGCAGACAGACUAUGGGUGCUAAGGUCCAUAGUCGAAAGGAAAACAGUCCAGACCAACAGCUAAGGUCCCCAAGUUAUUGUUAAGUGGGAAAGGAUGUCGGACGACCAAAACAGCCAGGAGGUUGGCUUAGAAGCAGCCAUCCUUUAAAGAAAGCGUAACAGCUCACUGGUCUAAAUAAGUUGUCCGGCGCCGAAGAUGUAACGGGGCUAAACAAUACACCGAAGCUUUGGACACAAUUUAUUGUGUGGUAGCGGAGCGUUCCGUACGUUGUUGAAGGGAGACUCGUGAGAGCUCCUGGAGAUAUCGGAAGUGAGAAUGCUGACAUGAGUAGCGACAAACAGAGUGAGAAACUCUGUCGCCGAAAAUCCAAGGGUUCCUGCGCAAGGCUAAUCCGCGCAGGGUGAGUCGGCUCCUAAGGCGAGGACGAAAGUCGUAGUCGAUGGGAACAAGGUUAAUAUUCCUUGACCAGAUGAGAUGUGACGGAUGACGUAAAUUGUCUAUCCUUAUAUGGAUUGGAUAGGCAGUGAAGUUGUUCCAGGAAAUAGCCUCAUCGUGGACCGUACCCGAAACCGACACAGGUGGAUAGGUAGAAGAUACCAAGGCGCUUGAGAGAACGAUGCUGAAGGAACUCGGCAAAUUGCCUCCGUAACUUCGGAAGAAGGAGGACCUAUGUUUGGGCAACCAGAUGUGGGUGGCACAGAAAUGGGGGUAGCAACUGUUUAUUAAAAACACAGGACUCUGCAAAGCCGUAAGGCGAAGUAUAGGGUCUGACGCCUGCCCGGUGCCGGAAGAUUAAAGUGAGUGGUGCAAGCUACGACCUGAAGUCCCGGUGAACGGCGGCCGUAACUAUAACGGUCCUAAGGUAGCGAAAUUCCUUGUCGGGUAAGUUCCGACCUGCACGA